rnacentral:rRNA from 1 species
CCUUCGGGUGGUGGACAGUGGCGGACGGGUGAGUAACACGUGGGAACCUACCAUUGAGUAUGGAAUAACGCAGUGAAAAUUGUGCUAAUACCAUAUACGCCCUUUGGGGGAAAGAUUUAUCGCUCUUUGAUGGGCCCGCGUUGGAUUAGCUUGUUGGUGAGGUAAUGGCUCACCAAGGCGACGAUCCAUAGUUGGUUUGAGAGGAUGACCAGCCACACUGGGACUGAGACACGGCCCAGACUCC